rnacentral:lncRNA from 1 species
GGCCCCGCCCACGUCAUGGCGCCUGAGGAGAACGCGGGUACCAAACUCUUGCUGCAGAGUUUCGAGCGCCGCUUCCUAGCGGCGCGCACACUGCGCUCCUUCCCCUGGCAGUAACCUGAAGCUUUCACCGUAGACGUGCUGUAUUGCCCAGAAGCCAUCGUGUCCCUGGUCGGGGUCCUGCGGAGGCUGGCUGCCUGCUGGGAGCACCAGCGGGCUCCUGAGGUCUACAUGGCCUUUACCGUCCGCAACCCAGAGACGUGCCAGGUGUUCACCACCGAGCUAGGCUGGGCUGGGAUCAGAUGGGAAGCGGAAGCUCAUCAUGACCAGAAACUGUUUCCCUAUGGAGAGCACUUGGAGAUGGCAAUGCUGAACCUCACACUGUAGGACUCAUACACGACUCCAACGGGAUUGUUAGAAUCAAAUCACUCUCGUGGGAAGAAUUUUUAUAUGGGAAAGCGGAUAAAACUUUCAUUGGACUGGAAUGUUUGGAGAAUGUUAAAUUCCAAAUCAGGAACCACAAUCUGCCCUCUAAUAAGACAUCGGCUAUCUAAGCAUGUGGGUGCCCCCUUUCUGCCAGCAGUUCUGGUUCUUAAGAAAAUCACCAUAAAUCAGACAUGAAAAUUCUGGCUCCAAAAA